rnacentral:rRNA from 1 species
CCUACGGGAGGCAGCAGUAGGGAAUAUUGCUCAAUGGGGGAAACCCUGAAGCAGCAACGCCGCGUGGAGGAUGAAGGUUUUCGGAUUGUAAACUCCUUUUGUUAGAGAAGAUAAUGACGGUAUCUAACGAAUAAGCACCGGCUAACUCCGUGCCAGCAGCCGCGGUAAUACGGAGGGUGCAAGCGUUACUCGGAAUCACUGGGCGUAAAGAGCGCGUAGGCGGGAUAGCAAGUCAGAUGUUAAAUCCUAGGGCUUAACCAUAGAACUGCAUUUGAAACUGGUAUUCUAGAGUAUGGGAGAGGUAGGUGGAAUGCUUGGUGUAGGGGUAAAAUCCGUAGAGAUCAAGAGGAAUACUCAUUGCGAAGGCGACCUGCUAGAACAUAACUGACGCUGAUGCGCGAAAGCGUGGGGAGCAAACAGGAUUAGAUACCCUAGUAGUC